ACGACGCUGGCGGCGUGCUUAACACAUGCAAGUCGAACGGAGAAUUUAUUUCGGUAAAUUCUUAGUGGCGAACGGGUGAGUAACGCGUGGGCAACCUGCCCUUCAGAUGGGGACAACAUCCCGAAAGGGGUGCUAAUACCGAAUACGAUCACGCUGCCGCAUGGCGGUGUGAUGAAAGAUGGCCUCUAUUUAUAAGCUAUCGCUGAAGGAUGGGCCUGCGUCUGAUUAGCUAGUUGGUGGGGUAACGGCCUACCAAGGCGAUGAUCAGUAGCCGGUCUGAGAGGAUGAACGGCCACAUUGGGACUGAGACACGGCCCAAACUCCUACGGGAGGCAGCAGUGGGGAAUAUUCCGCAAUGGACGAAAGUCUGACGGAGCAACGCCGCGUGAGUGAUGAAGGUUUUCGGACUGUAAAGCUCUGUUGUUUAGGACGAAAGUGCCUGUUGCAAAUAGUUGCAGGUAUUGACGGUACUGAACGAGGAAGCCACGGCUAACUACGUG
rnacentral:rRNA from 1 species